GAGUUCAACUCACACAUCAAUAAAAAUUAACAACCAAUAAAAUUAUAACAAUUAAUAGACAUCAGCUCAAUUUUGAUUACCUGUCAUCGUUCAUGUCAGCGUUCGAAUUAUCUAAUCUUUCUCAUUCUCCUUCUCCGCUUCACCAUGUCUCGAGGACUCAGUUGUCACUGUAAAAAAAACAUAAACGGGGAAGGGGGUAUUAUCAGCGGAUCUUCACUCUGCGACAAGAUCCGGUGAUGUAACUGUCGUUCAAUAUAUAAUCUGAUCUAAUCUGUUGGCUUUUAAUUCUAGGGAGAGGAAACUCACGGUUUGAGGGUUGCCAUCCGAUCAUUUUGGCGAAGAGCAAAGCUAGAGCCAUUUAGAAAGUAAGACACUAGCUUUGAUUGGAGAGAGCGGAAGCGAGGAAUCAACAGCGACUGCGUUGUUGCGAAGGUUUUACGAGCUUGAUUAUUGUCAGAUCACUUUUGAUGGAGUUGAGAUCAAGACAUUUCAAGUGAUAUGGUUAAGACAACAAACCGGAUUGGUCUAUGAUACAAUGGUUGGUGAAAGAGGUGUUCAGUUAUAAGAUGGGCAAAAAAGCAGAGAGUAUCCAUAGCCAGAGCAAUUGAUAAAGGCCCUAAGGUGUUGCCACUUGAUGAAACCACGAGUGCUCUAGACGCUGAGUCAGAGGGUUUGGUCCAGGAUGCAUUGGACCGGGUUAUGGUUAACCGAACCACCGGACGUUGGUGGCACAUCGGUUAUCAACUAUCAAGAAUAAUGAUGUAAUUGCGGUGGUUAAGAAUAGAAUCAUAGUGGAGAGAGGAAAGCAUGAGACUUUAAUUAAUAUCAAAGAUGGUGUUAUGCUACUUUAGUGAGCUUUUAAAUCUUCAAGCAACAAAUAAUAACGA